rnacentral:rRNA from 1 species
UUGAGGGCAGUCUGGUGCCAGCAGCCGCGGUAAUUCCAGCUCCAAUAGCGUAUAUUAAAGUUGUUGCAGUUAAAAAGCUCGUAGUUGAAUUUCGGGGUCAGUAGGUCGGUCGUGCCACUGGUAUGAACUGGUUUUACUGAUUCCUCCCUCUUGAAGAACUAUAAUGCCAUUAACUUGGUGUUGCAGGGAAUCAGGACUGUUACUUUGAAAAAAUUAGAGUGUUUAAAGCAGGCUUUAGCUUGAAUACAUUAGCAUGGAAUAAUGAAACAGGACGUUUGAUCCUAUUCUGUUGGUUUCUAGGAUUGACGUAAUGAUUAAUAGGGAUAGUUGGGGGCAUUAGUAUUCAAUUGUCAGAGGUGAAAUUCUUGGAUUUAUUGAAGAUUAACUACUGCGAAAGCAUUUGCCAAGGAUGUUUUCAUUAAUCAAGAACGAAAGUUAGGGGAUCGAAGACGAUCAGAUACCGUCGUAGUCUUAACCAUAAACUAUGCCGACUAGGGAUCGGAUGAUGUUAAUUUUUUAAUGACUCAUUCGGCGCCUUACGGGAAAC